rnacentral:rRNA from 1 species
GUCUACAGCCAUGCCACCCUGAACGUGCCCGAUCUUGUCUGAUCUCGGAAGCUAAGCAGGGUCGGGCCUGGUUAGUACUUGGAUGGGAGACCACCUAGGAAAAUCAGGUGCUGUAGGCA